UCCGGUUUGUCACCGGCAGUCUCGCAUGAGUCCCCAACUAAAUGCUGGCAACAUGCGACGGGGGUUGCGCUCGUUGCGGGACUUAACCCAACACCUCACGGCACGAGCUGACGACAGCCGUGCAGCACCUCGCACCCGGCCCCGAAGGGAAACCGGCUUUCACCGGCGGUCCGGGCACGUUCAAGCCCAGGUAAGGUUCUUCGCGUUGCAUCGAAUUAAACCACACGCUCCGCUGCUUGUGCGGGCCCCCGUCAAUUCCUUUGAGUUUUAGCCUUGCGGCCGUACUCCCCAGGCGGGCCACUUAUUGCGUUAGCUACGACGCGGAGGGGGUCGAUACCCCCCACAUCUAGUGGCCAUCGUUUACAGCGUGGACUAC
rnacentral:misc_RNA from 1 species